AAUUAUAAUUAAGAAUAGAAAAUGAAACAAUUAAAAUGAGAAACAAAAUCAACAAAAGAUCCAAAUGGAAAUCAACAAGUUAAAGAGAAAACAAAAUCUCUAUGAAAAUGGCGCUCAAAUGGUCAGCUGACUUUUUUUCAUUUUCUUUUCUCUUUCACUUGUGAAUCAUUUUAACUUAUAAAUGUAUUGAAAGAAAAACGUUUAGAGUUAAUUUUGUUAAAUUAGUUUGUUUAAAUUGGUGCACAAUCAAAAUUAAAUUUGAAAAUAAAUAAAUUAAAUUAAAUUAAACAACAAAAAGAUGAUCAAUAAACCAAAUGGGAAUCAGUCUAAUCAUUGAUGGCGAAGAAGAUGAAGAUAAAUGAACAUCAAGCAAAGACGAAAGAAGCUGUGAUAUUGCAAGAGAGAUGAAGAAAAAAACAUUAAACGGAAAAGGAAAAGAUGAGGAGAUGAUGAUGAUCUUGUCCUUUUAUCUUCAUCUCCCUCUCUCUCUCUCUCCCUCACCCAACCCAUUGAAUCUUUGAAGCAUUAAAUUUGAUUAACAAUUGAUGUAAAAGUAAUGAAUAUAACCCAACAUCUUAUGUCACUUGAUGAUACAAUUCAAUUUAAAUUUCAUUUUAACAAUAAUCAUCAUCAUUACUGUUAACCAUUAACUUGAUUGUCACUGUUAAACAAAUUGUUGUUUUCUAAUGUAAUUUUUCUCUCUCUCUCUCUCUCUCUCCUCCUAUUCCUUAAAAGCAUUGAAUUUAUUGCUGAUCAUCAUCAUGAUCAUCAUCAUGUUUUAUAUGAUUGAUUAAAUGAAUUGUAAAUGUCACUUAAAGGCAAGACUCUUAUGCUCCAAUUGUUAAUCAAUGUUAACAUGAAUUGAUUACUUAAUGAAAGAGAUUGACUUUUUAUUUUAAUCACUCAA